AGACAUGCAUGAUAAAUUCCUUGAUCACUGAAGCUACUAAAUCACCCUUCACAUACCACUCAUUGAUUGGAUUGGAGCUGGGGUAAAAUGUCUACUUGUGACUAUUUACACAUUUUAUUUUGAAGUGAAAUCACUGUUUGUCCUGGCAAGUCAGUUUAUGUCAAUUUUUGGGUGGGGUUUGUAUGAGAGAUAAAUCUCUUGACGAGCAAUAUCGUCAUAGUGAUUCUGUAAACAUCAACAAUUGGGAGUAUCGGGAUAGAUUUAAAAAGCACAACGUAAACCUGGAGUGUGGUACGAAUUUCAAAUUUCUUUUACGAUAAUCACACAGCAAACUGACGAGCCACCUUAAUGGGUCAGGGGGAAGGAAGCGGUGAAGGAAGCGGUAAAGGCGGGGACCUGUGCCCCGGCAUUCUCUGGGGUAUUCUGUGGUUCCUCAUCCUGUGGUUCCUGGCCUGGCCUAUAGCCUUCUUUAUAGCCUGGUUAUACGUGUUUCUCUUACCAUUCUCAGCGUGCAUAGAACCAAUGAAGGGUGUGUGUGAAGCUAUUCUUGGGGUGCUACAACUUCCAUUGACAUGUGCAGAGAACAUGAUCGCUAUGAAACCAUUGUGUGGUGGAUAGAUAAAUUGUGUGUUCUAGACCAAUAUUUAACUUUUUUAUUGACUUAAUUGUUGCAUAAACAGUAUAGAAUAUUUUAGCAUUCUGUAAGCUGUGAUUACUUAGUGUUAUGCAAGUUAUGACAUUCAAAUUGUUACAGAGUUCUGAAUGUAAAUGUGCAUGCAUUGCACAUACUGUUAAUAAAUAAUUCAUAAACAUUGAA